UAUCAUAUUCGCUCAUACAAUUUGUUUUUAGGUGUUGAUUUCUUUGCUAAGCACUCGCCACUUUCCUAUAGUACACAUUUCAAUCCCACAAAAACAAGUAAAAUUUGUAGAAAUGAUACUUUAACAAAUGAAUGUAACUAUUAAAGAUCGAUUUCUUUUCUAUUCACCUUAUUAUUGUUGUUAAAGAUUAGUAUGAACAGGACAUGUCUUUAAAAUUCUGUUCUGAUCGGGUUUGUGAGAGAUAUGAGUGAUUGGUGGUUAGGACAUGAGAACAAGGAAGCUUAUCUCAGUAGCCUACCAUAAAAAAGACACUCACUUCACCUUGUUCCACUCAUUGUAUAUAUAAUAAUUACAUGUUGUGCCUAAUGUAUGUCGAUUUCAGGGAUUCAUACCAUUGUUCUUUUUUUUUUGGUGAGUAUACCAUUGUUCUUUUUGUACAAAGACAACAAUAUAUGUAAAUCCUUUUUUAAAAUUUGAUUUGAUUCAUUUUAAUUAAGA